UAAUGGCAUUAUGCUCUGGGAUGCUCGACGACAGCAAAUCGAGCCUGCCAUCGUCGACGACGACAGGCGGAGACAGCCAACCGCCUUCGCCUUGGCCUUCCUCUGGUUGCAACUUAGCGGGAGUGCAGGGAGGUGCCUUACACUGCGAACAGCGGGGUGACUGCUCGACUUGGGGAUCAUGAUCGUCAUCGAUCUUAAGCGUAGGCAUCGAUCCGCUUUUCUUAAGGCCCAAUGCAUAGGCAACUACUAUA